CAUUAGAUGACUUAUACGCCAAGUAAUGAUCUCUUAAAUCAAUUUAUAGUAAUAUAGCAAUUGUUUCUAAUGA
rnacentral:tRNA from 1 species